UGGGGAAUUUUGGACAAUGGGCGAAAGCCUGAUCCAGCAAUGCCGCGUGUGUGAAGAAGGCCUUCGGGUUGUAAAGCACUUUUGUCCGGAAAGAAAUCCUUGGCUCUAAUACAGUCGGGGGAUGACGGUACCGGAAGAAUAAGCACCGGCUAACUACGUGCCAGCAGCCGCGGUAAUACGUAGGGUGCAAGCGUUAAUCGGAAUUACUGGGCGUAAGCGUGCGCAGGCGGUUUGCUAAGACCGAUGUGAAAUCCCCGGGCUCAACCUGGGAACUGCAUUGGUGACUGGCAGGCUAGAGUAUGGCAGAGGGGGGUAGAAUUCCACGUGUAGCAGUGAAAUGCGUAGAGAUGUGGAGGAAUACCGAUGGCGAAGGCAGCCCCCUGGGCCAAUACUGACGCUCAUGCACGAAAGCGUGGGGAGCAAACAGGAUUNGAUACCCUGGUAGUCCACGCCCUAAACGAUGUCAACUAGUUGUUGGGGAUUCAUUUCCUUAGUAACGUAGCUAACGCGUGAAGUUGACCGCCUGGGGAGUAC
rnacentral:rRNA from 1 species